rnacentral:lncRNA from 1 species
ACUUUUGCACCAAGGACUAUAUUGCCUGAUGGGCUUUUCAAUUUGUUCAUAGUAACCACAGUGAGUAAAUGUGGCCUUCAACAGUGUUCUCCAUACAGGUUAGGGCUAUAAGGAGUACUAUGUCUUAUGCUCUGUUGCAGUUAUGUUUUUCAUUUAAAAAAUGAUCCAAAUAAAACACUAUAUCAGUUGUAACAAUAACAAAAACAUACAUUUAGUUGUAUGUCUAUUCUUCCACAUUAACCCAAUGUGAAUAUUUCUUUCACUAUGUUUAUUAAUGAAGAACAGCAUUUCAUAAAGAGUGUUUAUAAUUUACAACCACAUAACUUAAAGCAUUUCAGGCAUAAUUAAUGAUAAGGAUGAAACAUAAGACUGAGCUUGCAUGAUAGGGACCACUUCAAAUCUUUGGUUCUGUAGUUGGCAUCAGACAGACUUGCAUACUGUACUCAUGUGGGCUUUGUAGCUUUCUGGGAUGAACAAUGAAAAAUGACCUCAUCAUAACAAAAUGCUUCUCACUUUUAGAAAAUAUAAGUUACGAACUGACUGGCAUUGUUCUACCACAAGAAAAAUAGCAUGGUGUCACUGAACACAUGACAUACUUACAUCACGAAACAUGGAGAUCCAAGUCUCAGCUGAAGCAUGACCUCCCUCCCUAGUAUGCAUGGCGCUGGAAGGUAAUUUACAUGCAACCAGAAGAGCAGUAAUCAGCAACAUCACCCAACUCCAAACCCCGUAACCUACAACAGUGACCUGCCUGGAAGAUAUAGUCUGCAAUAGUGGCACAAGUGUUAUAGGAGUAACCAGUCACUUUCUGAUUGGAUUUGCAGCCUACUCCAUGAAAUGGAACACAUACCUGACCCUACUAAAGUGGCCAAGAACAUGAAACUAAACAUUUUAUGGGCCAGGGCUGGGCGGGGGAACCCUACAACUAUAUUUUGCUAAAGGAAUAUAACAGUAAAAUGACUUCUGAUUACACAUUGUUAUGGUAAGGAAUCAGUAUGUCACUCAGUCUUGAUUAGAAAACCUUCUUGUUAGGGGUUGGUCUGGUGCUGUGCAUACAAAUGUUAAAUUCUGAACCCCAAAAUCUAGUUGCUGUCCAAAUGAGUAAUUCUCACUUACACCUGCCUAUGAACCUUACUCCCCAGUUUAAUUCCUAAUUGGUCAGUAAAUGUCUGGGGCUUAUGGCUAAGCAGAAAAGAUAGGAAGGCAGGUCUUAGAAUCAAGUGGGGAGGUCUCUAGAGAGACCACUAGUU